AAGAUCAUACUUUUAGGGAUCAUUUCUAUAGUAUGCAUCGCCAUGACUUCAGGUAAAACUGACAGUCUACCAAACCACGAGGACGAUAGACAGCCUCUCUUUCUGAGCGCGAAGCCAACCAGGGUGAGUGCCAUCUCAGGCAAGUAACCCUGGUUCUUGAUGACCGUCAUAUAGGAGUGAUAUAAAACAUGGAUGUUUUAUUAGAUAUUCUGAAUGGA